AGAGUUUGAUCAUGGCUCAGAAUCAACGCUGGCGGCGCGCUUAACACAUGCAAGUCGCACGAGAAAGGGGCAACCUGAGUAAAGUGGCGCACGGGUGAGUAACACGUGGGUGAUCUGCCUCUUAGUGGGGGAUAACUCUGGGAAACCGGAGCUAAUACCGCAUAAGCUCGAGAGAGGAAAGCAGCAAUGCGCUGAGAGAGGAGCCCGCGGCCGAUUAGCUAGUUGGUAAGGUAACGGCUUACCAAGGCUGAGAUCGGUAGCCGGCCUGAGAGGGCACACGGCCACACUGGCACUGAAACACGGGCCAGACUCCUACGGGAGGCAGCAGUGGGGAAUCUUGCACAAUGGGGGAAACCCUGAUGCAGCGACGCCGCGUGAGCGAUGAAGCCCCUCGGGGUGUAAAGCUCUUUCGACAGGAAAGAUCAUGACGGUACCUGGAGAAGAAGCUGCGGCUAACUACGUGCCAGCCGCCGCGGUAAUAC
rnacentral:rRNA from 1 species